rnacentral:rRNA from 1 species
GACAGAGGAUGCAAGCGUUAUCCGGAAUUAUUGGGCGUAAAGCGUCUGUAGGCGGCUUUUUAAGUCUGCCGUCAAAUCCCAGGGCUUAACCCUGGACAGGCGGUGGAAACUACCAAGCUGGAGUACGGUAGGGGCAGGGGGAAUUUCCGGUGGAGCGGUGAAAUGCGUAGAGAUCGGAAAGAACACCAACGGCGAAAGCACUCUGCUGGGCCGACACUGACACUGAGAGGCGAAAGCUAGGGGAGCGAAUGGG